rnacentral:rRNA from 1 species
GUGCCAGCAGCCGCGGUAAUUCCAGCUCCGAUAGCGUAUAUUAAAGUUGUUGUGGUUAAAAAGCUCGUAGUUGAACCUUGGGCCUGGCUGGCCGGUCCGCCUCACCGCGUGCACUGGUCCGGCCGGGCCUUUCCCUCUGUGGAACCCCAUACCCUUCACUGGGCGUGGCGGGGAAACAGGACAUUUACUUUGAAAAAAUUAGAGUGCUCCAGGCAGGCCUAUGCUCGAAUACAUUAGCAUGGAAUAAUAAAAUAGGACGCGCGGUUCUAUUUUGUCGGUUUAUAGGACCGCCGUAAUGAUUAAUAGGGACAGUCGGGGGCAUCAGUAUUCAACUGUCAGAGGUGAAAUUCUUGGAUCAGUUGAAGACUAACUACUGCGAAAGCAUUUGCCAAGGAUGUUUUCAUUAAUCAGGAACGAAAGUUAGGGGAUCGAAGACGAUCAGAUACCGUCGUAGUCUUAACCAUAAACUAUGCCGACUAGGGAUCGGACGGUGUUAUUCAUGACCCGUUCGGCACCUUACGAGAAAUCAAAGUGCUUGGGCUCCAGGGGGAGUAUGGUCGCAAGGCUGAAACUUAAAGAAAUUGACGGAGGGGCACCACCAGGGGUGGAGCCUGCGGCUUAAUUUGACUCAACACGGGGAAACUCACCAGGUCCAGACACAAUAAGGAUUGACAGAUUGAGAGCUCUUUCUUGAUUUUGUGGGUGGUGGUGCAUGGCCGUUCUUAGUUGGUGGGGGUGACUUGUCUGCUUAAUUGCGAUAACGAACGAGACCUUAACCUGCUAAAUAGCCCCGCAUUGCUCCGGCAGUGCGCUGGCCUUCUUAGGAGGGACUUUCG